UGAGGAAUAUUGGUCAAUGGCCGCAAGGGUGACCCAGCCACCCCGCGUGGAGGAUGAAUGCCCUAUGGUUGUAAAAUUCUGUUUUAAGGGAAAAAAGAGUUUCUUCGAAUUCCGCUUUGACUGUACCUUGUGAAGAAACCCCGGCUAACUCCGUG
rnacentral:rRNA from 1 species